rnacentral:lncRNA from 1 species
UCGAGGCUGGCCACGGCACGCCCGAAGAGGCGGCCGAAGCGUCGCUCCGCGAUGCCGUUCGAGCCUACGACCAUGUCCUGUAGUGGCGGGGCAGAGGCGUCGGUGCCUUCCAUCCCUAUUCCGAGGUGGAUGAUGCCGGAUGCGCCGGUGGGCGCAGAGACGAAGCCGAGCGCGGCCUCCUCGUCCGCAAAGGCACGCAUCGG